rnacentral:tRNA from 1 species
GUCAGAUUAAUUUAAUUAGGUAAAAUUCAUGAUUUGUAAUCAUAUCUUGUUAGUUCGAUUCUAACAUCUGGCA